UACGUAGGGGGCUAGCGUUGUCCGGAAUCAUUGGGCGUAAAGAGCGUGUAGGCGGUCCGGUAAGUCCGCUGUGAAAGUCGGGGGCUCAACCCUCGAAUGCCGGUGGAUACUGUCGGGCUAGAGUGCGGAAGAGGCGAGUGGAAUUCCCGGUGUAGCGGGUGAAAUGCGCAGAGUAUCGGGAGGAACACCAAUGGCGAAGGCAGCUCGCUGGGACGGUACUGGACGCCUGAGACGCGAAAGCGUGGGGAGCAAACAGGAUUGAGAUAC
rnacentral:rRNA from 1 species